rnacentral:rRNA from 1 species
AGUGAAGCGGGAUGAGCUCAAAUUUAAAAUCUGGCUGGUUUACUAGUCCGAAUUGUAGUUUAAAGAAGUGUUUUCGGUGGCAGCCUGGGUAUAAAUCCUUUGGAACAGGGUAUCAUAGAGGGUGAGAAUCCCGUCUUUGACUCAGUGCAUGCUACUAUGUGAUACAUUUUCAAAGAGUCGAGUUGUUUGGGAAUGCAGCUCAAAAUGGGUGGUAAAUUUCAUCUAAGGCUAAAUAUUGGCGAGAGACCGAUAGCGAACAAGUACCGUGAGGGAAAGAUGAAAAGAACUUUGAAAAGAGAGUUAAACAGUGCGUGAAAUUGUUGAAAGGGAAACGCUUGACACCAGUCAUGCGAGCGGAAAAUCAGUCUUUUGCAGUGGGGGGUUGUGUGGGAUCGGACCGCAAGGCCGGCCUAUGCUGCAUCUCUGCUGUAAGUGAUGCACUUUUUCGUUUGCAGGCCAACAUCAGUUUCUUCUGCUGGACAAAACUCUUGAGAAGGUAGCAGCUUUGGCUGUGUUAUAGCUCUUGAGCGAUACAGUGGAGGGGACUGAGGUUUUCGCAGCGCGUGCUUUCGGGCAAGGCUGAUUGGGUGCUAUGGGAUCGUUCGGUGUACAAUGCAUGCAUUUUGCGCCGUGUCUUUUCUGUACUCGCUCAACUCGGCUCUCCGCGC